UUCUAACAGCACAGAGUAGGUGAAGUGAGAGAUAAACUGGCUUCAUGUAGGAACAAGAGGAAAAGUGUUUUAUUUUACUAAGAAGAUUUUACUGGAAGACCAAUCUGGAAACGGCCCUUACUUCGGCCGCAGCUGCUGGGACAUCCUGGGGCCUCGCCUGUCUGGUCUGCCUGUCUCCUUGCUGCUGUCAGGGCGGUGGGGUCCCCGGGAACAGUCCAAGACCCUGGGGUGGGGGAUUUACAGCUUUUGGCUUCCCUCAGACCAUAUAGGGUUUUUUCUUUCUUUCUUUUUCAUGGGCAUUUGAUUUAAAAGUUUUGUGUUUAAAGAGCUGAACUUCACACGAGUUUUACUUACCAGUUUGGAAGACAUUGAGCUCUAAACAUGACUGCCCAAGGCCUCUGCCAAGCAGCCCCGUCUGUCUGUCUGUCUGUCUGUCUGUCUGUCUGUCUGUCUGUCUGAAGAGACAGGAAGGUGGAGAAACUGCAGUUGCCGACCUGUCUCUAGGCCACUGAGGGCAGCCAUCCAGCAUCCUCGGGACCCCAUGGCUCCAGCUGCUGACAGAUGGGAAACGUCUGGCCUCCAUCACCAGGUCACCUCGACAAGGAUCUGUAAUGGGGGCAGGGGCAGGGGUGGAUGAGAAAGUAGGAAGUGGAUGCUGGGCAGUGAGGUGUGAAUUGACGGCAGAGCCCAGCCUGACAGCACCUUUGAUUGAUGAAAGGACAUUGUUAACAAGCCUUUAAAGUUUCUCAUUAAUGUUUUUUUCAUUGAAAAAAAAAAAGCCACCAGAAAAAAGUUCCACAUGGACAGUAAUUAAGAUGGAUCCCGUACAGUAUGGUAUCAAUGUUGGGAGCCUUUAGGAGAAAAUUACCCGCUCUCCUGUUAAAAACUUCUUUCAAGGCUGCCAUUUUCUGGCCUUUCGAAAGUCCCUGGCAAUGUGGGGACCUGGGUGGUCAGGCACAUUCUGCAGGUGUGAUGUGGUCAGCGGGUGCAGAGUGGAGACCCCAGCUUUCUUUGUCAUGGACUCUGAUGCAGUAGGGGAGGAAGAGCAGGGAAGGGUCUGUUGCCAUGGAGGGGGCUGGAGUUCUCAGCUCCAAGUGGGUCCCAAGGAGCGCGGCUGAGCAGAGUGCACGUGAUGUGCAUGGUUCUCACCAGAGAUGCUGCAGCGCUGGGGCGAGGGGACCAUCUCUUCCCCUUGUUUCUGCAUGGGGGCUGAGCCAGCCCCCUAUUGUACACACAGCACUGCACACAUGCACACCCAGGGGUUCUUUCCAAGUCUUCCAGGUACACAUCACUGCUGGUCGGACCCUGAAUACCAGUGGAAUGCCUGCGUCCAGGCUGAUUUGCUGACUUACAUUAAGAAAACCCAGCUGGAGAAAGUAUCAGGGUCUUAACGUUAAGCAACAUGUGAGAUUGUGCAAAAAGGAGUGCUUUUGUGUGUUGUGAUUACCAUGGCUGCAGGACAAGCGGAUGCACGUGUGACACUUGGCAGGCAACAAGGAAGCCUGUGUGGAGCAUGGAGCCCGGUCCUGACCAGGCUGGACUCUGCACGGUGGCCCUGGGGACUGGCAGUUGCCUCCCCUGAGCCCCUUGCUGGAGGCAAAAGUUAGCCCGACCAAGGGCUUCUUCCACCUGACCAGACGGGCCAUCUGCCACCACACCCCAGGCUGGACUCCACCCUUUAGGGAACCUUGGGUCAGAGAGAAGUUGGCCUGGCCAUGACGGUGGAGCUCUGGAACAGGAGGCCCAGGGCCUGCACACCGUGCGUAGAGUGCCUCUCUCAGUGCUGAUGGUGAAGCAGACCCUUGGGACAAAGGACCCUGUGCUCCCCAGCCCCCCAGGCCAGAGUCGGGUAGCUCUCGUCAGAAUGCCCCACUCCAAGGUUUCAUGGUCAGCUUCCUGGGCCCCCAGCAGGCCUUGGUCCGUCCCCCUCCGCCACACACAGGGUGGGCCUCCCUCACCCACAGGAGCCUGGGCGGGCGGCAUUCCCACCACGCAAGGUCCCCCAGGGCACUAACUCGCCACCCUUUGGCUGCCGUUCUCCAGCAUGCGGGAGUGGAGCACUGCCCCCGCUCCACAGUGGCCAGAGGUUUUGUAGUAACCCCAGCAGGGAGCCCACACCCUGUCCUGGCUUUAGGUUAGCAGAGCACGCGACCACCAUGGGCUGCUCAGUACCUCCACCUCCCCGCAGACCGCCACACCUGGCAACACCGUCUGCGGAGGCCACAGUGACCUGAACUGGGGGAACGAGUACCUGGGGAAGUGUGGAGAGAAGCCCCUUCCCUAAGAACCUGCACAGUGAGCAUGCUCUCGGGGUCCCCCCAAGGCCACUGGAGGAGACAGCCAAGCUCUGGUCACCCCAGAUCUUUGGGGACCACUGCCUUCACUCUGACGUGGAAGGGCUGCGGUAUGGGUCACCAUGAGGGCUCAAGGAGCACGGAGUAGGGAGCAGCCAUGGAAACCCAGUCCCCGGGCUCCUGCAUCCACAGAGGCUGGCAGGGUGGUGGGAGAAAGCACCCAGAAGUGACAGGGAGGGGGACGAGGGCCUCAGUGCAGCUCUGAUGUCCCGGCCGCGGCACUGGGCCCAGUUCAAGGUUUUGCAGCCUUCUGGGUGCCCUGCGUGGCUGGGUUUGGGGCCGGGACUGUGACCUGUGAUGGCAGGUCCAGAGUAUCUGAGGAUACUCAAUCCCGGAAUCUUCCUGAUCUCAGGAUGUCAGGCCUGAGUGACCCGAACCAGGCCCAGAAGCCAGAGGAAAUCCUGGUGUCUGUGGCCCUGCCUGAGUGUCGGACGCAUUCCCGAGGCACACCUGGGCCUCCCUGCCCCACCUCCCAGGAGUGCCCUUCAGGAUGCAGCCUGGACAGCAUGUGCAGUGGAAAUGCAUUUACUGGGUGAAGAGGAAGGUCCCUGACUCAGAAGACAGUGUGGGCCCACACAUCUGACCACGUGAUUUGUGUCAUGUGCUUGACCAGCUGUUCCUCAGCUUUCCCCCUCCACUUGCAGGGCAGCUGAGCACGAGUCCCAGGAAGCAUCUGAGAGGCCCUGCAGACCCGGCUGAGGAGGCCGAAAGCAGCCCCAGGUCCCAGGUGCGGGCGCGCUCCGUGUGGAGCGGUCUCCAAGGCCAGGCCUGCAGCGCCCUGGGGACCUGCAGAACAGAGGACGGAUGGGCACAGCGGCCCGGCGGAGCAGGCCGGAGCCCGGCUCGAGGGAAGCUUGCCUUCUCGUCUGGCAUCCCCGUGUUUUACAUAAUUAGGCACCUCCACAUGACGCCGAUACCCCCGACGCUCACAGCAUUCUGCCAGAUACCACGUCUCCCCCACCCAGGACAGAAAUGUGUGUGAUAAAAAUGUUUAAGCAAUUGAAAGGAACAUGGGUGUGGUGGGCAGAAUUAUUAAAUAACAACAACAACAACAAAAUCAAUCCUCAGGUCGGCCUGGCCAGAUGAGCGUUUCUCGGCUCAGGUUACCGCUGGCGACAGUCCUGCUGGUGGCUCUGUCACUGCUUUGUUCAGAUCGCUCUUCCAGCACAUCCUCAGCACCUUUCCAGCCUCCACCUGCUGCCUGCUUUGAAAACGAGGCCAAAGUUUCAGCUCCUCUUUCUUCGAAUUGCCUUUAACCUCACUUGGAAUGCCAGUCUUCGCCAGAUCGGCCCAGAGCCCAGCACCCUCACACCCACUCAGAGAUGUUGUCGGCACUGCAGAGCCAAGAGUUGGUCUUCACAGCUGUGGGCGAGCUCUGGUGUGGGCUUUUGUGGUCCCUGAGCCCCACGGACCCUACUCGCCUAGAGCAGGGGCUGCCUACAUCAUAAGUGUGUAAGCCACAGUCAUGACCAGAAAGAGCCCACUCCAGAGAGGCAUGUGGCCUCUGCUCCUUCCCCAGGCCCACUCUGGGGCACCUCAAACGUGCAGCCACAGGCCGACCCCUGCAGCCCACUGAUGAGGGGUGUGACACAGCCGUGGCUGGAGGGCUGGGGCUGGGGCUGGUCCCUGUGUCCCUGGGAGUCAGAGGCAGCUUCCUGCAGCCCAGCCACCACAGUGUGCAGGCUGCGACUAAAGCCUGCGUGUUUCUUCAAAAACGUGGAUAUCAGACAAGACAAAAUGUUGUGAGGAUGUUCCAGAUGAAGGAAGACUCAAGAGGCACGGCAAUUAACGGCAGUGGACUGAACCCCGGACUGGAAGGAAAACACGGUCUUAGAAGAAACCAUCACACCGAGGUCGUAUCUGAGCACAGCUUGGAAGCUCCUAUGUUUGC